rnacentral:rRNA from 1 species
UACGUAGGGUGCAAGCGUUGUCCGGAAUUAUUGGGCGUAAAGAGCUCGUAGGCGGCUUGUCGCGUCGGCUGUGAAAACCUGGGGCUCAACCCCGGGCCUGCAGCCGAUACGGGCAAGCUAGAAUUCGGUAGGGGAGACUGGAAUUCCUGGUGUAGCGGUGAAAUGCGUAGAUAUCUGGAGGAACACCGGUGGCGAAGGCGACAUCCUGGACCAACACUGACGCUGAGUGAGCGAAAGCCAGGGGAGCAAACAGG